AGAGUUAAACAGUACGUGAAAUUGUUGAAAGGGAAACGAUUGAAGUCAGUCGUGCUGGCGGGAAAUCAACUUCUCGAGUGCUUGUCGUGGAUGACGUUGAGCCUCACGGCCUUUGUUGUUUGCGUUAUGGUGCUUUUGAGGUGUACUUUUCCGUAUGGUAGGUCAACAUCGAUUUUGAUCGUCAUAAAAUGGCUGGUGGAAUGUAGCUUCGGUCUCGUACUGAAGUGUUAUAGCCUCUGGUAGAUGUGAUGACCGGGAUUGAGGAUUGCAACGAACCCUUCGGGGCCACCUGUCUGGCCUCUAGUGGUCUCUCUGGUGCUGAAAGCUCGCUUAUGGUCAUCAAAGUUGACGUUCAAUAGGUUAGAACGGGUUAAAUUCGUUAAGGAUGUUGACGUAAUGGCUUUAAACGACC
rnacentral:rRNA from 1 species